rnacentral:rRNA from 1 species
UGGGGAAUAUUGGACAAUGGGCGCAAGCCUGAUCCAGCAAUGCCGCGUGGGUGAAGAAGGCCUUCGGGUUGUAAAGCCCUUUUGUACGGGAAGAAAUCCUGUCGGUUAAUACCCGGCGGGGAUGACGGUACCGUAAGAAUAAGCACCGGCUAACUUCGUGCCAGCAGCCGCGGUAAUACGAAGGGUGCAAGCGUUAAUCGGAAUUACUGGGCGUAAAGCGUGCGUAGGCGGUUCGUUAAGUCUGUCGUGAAAGCCCUGGGCUCAACCUGGGAAUGGCGAUGAAUACUGGCGAGCUAGAGUGUGAUAGAGGAUGGCGGAAUUCCCGGUGUAGCGGUGAAAUGCGUAGAGAUCGGGAGGAACAUCUGUGGCGAAGGCGGCAUCCUGGACCGACAUUGACGCUGAGGAGCGAAAGCUAGGGGAGCAAA